rnacentral:rRNA from 1 species
CGCUAUCACUCCUACGGGAGGCAGCAGUGGGGAAUAUUGCACAAUGGGGGAAACCCUGAUGCAGCCAUGCCGCGUGUGUGAAGAAGGCCUUCGGGUUGUAAAGCACUUUCAGUAGGGAGGAAGGUAGUGUAGUUAACACCUGCAUUAUUUGACGUUUACCUACAGAAGAAGCACCGGCUAACUCCGUGCCAGCAGCCGCGGUAAUACGGAGGGUGCGAGCGUUAAUCGGAAUUACUGGGCGUAAAGCGCAUGCAGGCGGCCUGUUAAGUCAGAUGUGAAAGCCCGGGGCUUAACCUCGGAAUUGCAUUUGAAACUGGCAGGCUAGAGUCUUGUAGAGGGGGUAGAAUUUCAGGUGUAGCGGUGAAAAUGCGUAGAGAUCUGAAGGAAUACCAGUGGCGAAGGCGGCCCCCUGGACAAAGACUGACGCUCAGAUGCGAAAGCGUGGGGAGCAAACAGGAUUAGAUACCCUGGUAG